CCCAAAUCUAGGUUCGUGAGCAUAGAAGCAUUGGAGAGGUUGGGGAUUACUCCGCUGAGGUCAGUUCCUGCUAUAUAAAGGUUUUGUAGGUUUGGAACCCCAAGGCCUAUGUUUGCUGGGAGGCAUAUUCAAACCAAGUGCGAGGUCUGUUAUCGUGGAGAUAUUGAAGAUUGAGGCUGGGAUGAGGCCAUUUAGAUUGUUAAUUUGGAUUGAUAAAACCUCUAAAUUCUGAAGAUCACCGAUCUCGUUUGGUAUAGUGCCUGCCACAAUUUCAAAACAUUGUAGCGCAUUAGGUUAGAUGAAAACAAUAUUGACUUCUAUACAAUGUUAACGUUUAUUAUGCAAUUCAAUCUAUUUUAUUCUAUACAAUUUGUAGCCCAAGAGAAGUGAACAGGGCUGAAGGGGUUUUCGUUCUCUUUUUUAUCUGUUGACCUUGUACAAAAUAGUUAAAUAAUGAUAAAUGAUGCCAAACAAAAAGAUAUAGUUGGAACAACAUAAUGAAAUAUCAAUUACCUGUCAAAUUGUUGUCUUCCAGAUAAAUCGUUGUUAAUUGGGUUAAGUUGCCAAUAUAUUUGGGUAUGCUUCCACUGAAAUUGUUUCUAGACAAUGCUAAUGAAAGAAGAUGUUUGCAAUGCCAUAAUUUGGAUGGAAGUGGACCAUCAAACUGGUUGCGGCCAAAAUUAGCUUCCUGAAGAUUAGGAAGAUGCUGGCAUAUAUUAUCUGGAAGACCACCACUCAAACUGUUUUCAUAUAGAGUCUAAAUA